GACGAACCGUGCGAACGUUAUUCGGAAUCACUGGGCUUAAAGUGCGUGUAGGCGGGUCGGUGCGUCGGCGCCUGAAAUCCCCCGGCUCAACCGGGGAACGCGGCCCGAAACGACCGGCCUCGAGGGACGUAGGGGGGACUGGAACUUCCGGUGGAGCGGUGAAAUGCGUUGAGAUCGGAAGGAACGCCAGUGGCGAAGGCGAGUCCCUGGACAACACCUGACACUGAGGCACGAAAGCUAGGGGAGCAAACAGG
rnacentral:rRNA from 1 species